UACGUAGGUUUCAAGCGUUAUCCGGAAUUACUGGGUGUAAAGCGUCUGUAGGUGGAUUUUUAAGUUGAAUAUGAAAGACCGAGGCUCAACCUCGAGUUUGUAUUCAAGACUGGGAAUCUAGAAUUAGGGAGAGGUAAGCGGAAUUCUAAGUGUAGGGGUGCAAUCCGUAGAUACUUAGAAGAACACCAAAAGCGAAGGCAGCUUACUGGAACUAUAUUGACACUGAGAGACGAAAGCGUGGGUAGCGAAAAGG
rnacentral:rRNA from 1 species